UACAGAGGGGGCAAGCGUUGUUCGGAAUUACUGGGCGUAAAGGGCGCGUAGGCGGCCUUCUAAGUCGAACGUGAAAUCCCCGGGCUCAACCCGGGAACUGCGUCCGAUACUGGAAGGCUUGAAUCCGGGAGAGGGAUGCGGAAUUCCAGGUGUAGCGGUGAAAUGCGUAGAUAUUGGGAGGAACACCGGUGGCGAAGGCGACCGCCUGGACGAUGACUGACGCUGAGGCGCGAGAGCGUGGGGAGCAAACAGG
rnacentral:rRNA from 1 species